CGUCAACAGCAGAGGAGAAAGAAAUAACAGCAAACUGCGAACAGAGAACAGCGAACAGCGAUGCCGACUGCACGUCAUGUACAUAUACAUAUUUGACCAACAGCGCAACGGCAGCGUAAACUAGUCGGUUAUAACAGAUCCGCGAAAAAAGAGUGUGUAAAGUGAGAGCGCUCAUGGGAUGUCGGAAUCUCAGUGCAAACAACGUCAGCAAUGAACAAAAACCAAUCCGAAUAAACAGUGGAGCGAAGUGUUGGAUUGAGCAAUUGGAUUGUCUUUUUGAUCAUUUGCUCAAGGCAAGCUUUGUACAUGUAAAUACACUCGGGGGUUUGUCAUUGCCUCACUAGAAAUUAGCAACCACAAGGAAAAACUCAGGAAAAAUACCCUAAAGUGUAUCUAAGAACGAAAAUGCCGAAAACGUUGCAUGGCCUUGAAAUUUUACUCUCCAUUCUCGCUCGUCCAUCGACGCCUAAUGGCCUCUGGUGACGCUCCAUCAUGCUGUCCAGCAGGCUUAUUUGUGUGCGUGUCGGGUGCUUGACGCUAAUAUCUAAAAUUUUUGAUUUUCAUCAAGCAAAAGCCGACAACAAGUAUGUGUGACACGAAGCAAGUACGAGUGUCACCCGACACGCACACAUAUAAGCCUGCUGGACAAGCAUGCUGGAUCGUCACCAGAGGCCAUAAGAAGUUUUACUUCAAAAACUUUUUCUUCAUUUUGGUGUUUCACCGAGACUCGAACCUACGUACUCUCUGAAUUCCGAAUGGUAGUCACGCACCAACCCAUUCGGAUGCGGCG